ACGCCGCCGCGACCGUUGCGGCCGUUGGGCUCCUCAGGCGGUGUCAGGCCUGGUGGCGCGGCGCAGCGAAGUGGAGGGGCCCGCGGGCUGGAUAGACUGGGCUGGCGGGCCGCAUCCGGCCCCCGGGAUCGCGUUUUGCCCACCCUGCAUUAAGGCGAGAGUUAAUCGUCGUGUUUAAGCAAGAAGUUCGCAGAUGUUCUGUUCUCCUUCAUUACGAGGAGCUCUUCUCAAAAAGAAACGAGCGCUCACUGUCUGUACUCGAGGCUGUCCAACGCCGUUAUAAGAUCCUGUUUUUAACUCGGCGCGUUGUAACCGUUCGAGCUGACGUGCGUCAUGCUGGGCGUCCGUUACAGGCUAAAAAUGGGUUUUGAUAAGUGUCAGUGCAAACGGUUCAGUCAGGUUAAGGAGGGGGGAAAUCGGUCCACACUGAAAAAUUCGUACGGCUGUUCUUGCGAAGCUUCAAUGCUUUGGUGAUUGGAGGCCAUGCAAGAGACGUGACAUGGAGGGUGCCUUUGGUUACCUUUGCUUUUCCCCUGAGUAAACUCUCAAAUUUGGUCUAGGUAUAAGCCUGUGAAAACGUGUUUCCAGGUGCGCAGGGGAAACUCGUUUGGCUUCCGAAUUCUUCAGCAUCUACCAUUGGGCGGAUCGGAGCCAGAUGAAAUUCAACACCGAGAAGUGUAAAGUGCUGGAUCCACCUGGGGACGAACAGCCCCCCAACACACCGGCAGGCUCGGUGACGCCAAACGACUGAAAGGGAGCUGGGGGUAAUAACAGACCAUAGUACGAACAUGAGCCGUCAGCGCGAUGCUGUAGCCAGUAGGGCAGAUAAUACUCUGGCGUGCAUCGAUCUAUGCAUCUCCAGCAAAACCGAGGAAGUGAUUUUUCCGCUUUCCGCGGCAUUGGCGAGACCGCAGCUGGAGUACUGCGUCCAGUUCUGGGUGCCGCACUUCAACGAGGAUGUGGAAAAGCUUGAGAGAGAGACUCCAGAGACGAGCCAGCCAUACAAUCAGAGGCUUGCAAGGCAAGCCACAUGAGGAAAGGCUGAGGGACUUGGGCCUCUUCAGCCUAUAAAAGAGAAGGCUAAGAGGGGACCUUGUAGCAGCUUACUGCUACAUCAGGGGAGUACGUUGAGGGCUCGGCAAGCAACUGUUCACCAGGGCACCCUUGGGGAGAACCAGGAGUAAUGGCCACAAACUCCUGGAAGACUGUUUCAGGCUUAACACUAGGAAAAACUUCUUCACAGUUAGGGUAUCCAGACAGUGGAAUAAACUCCCUCCAGAGGUGGUGCAAUCACCUACCCUGGAAAUCUUCAAGAGGAACCUGCACAGUCACCUUGCUGGGGUCACCUGACCCCCAGUUAUCUUUCUUACCUAGUACAGGGGGCUGGACCUGAUGAUCUUGCAAGGUCCCUUCCAGCCCUUAACAAUCCAUGAAUUGGUGAGCAGGCUCCAGCCCUUCACAGCUCCUGUAUACGAACUGGAUUGCAUGAGCACCAUCCAGCAAGAGUGUGGGAGCAUGCUCUGGCUGAGGCUGCAUGGUCUGCAGUCUCCUGCAGAUGACUCGUUGGUGCCCAGUCAGCGUGGAGGGAGAGGAGGAGCAGCUUGACUGGAAUGCAGAGUAAUGAGUGGGGUGGGGAAGGAAAGGGGGAAUAAGCAGGAGCAGAGAAGAUAAGGACCCUGGAAAGGCUUGUGGGAAACUGGAGGGUGGGGGUGAGCACAAGAUCAUUUGUAACCACUGUAGUGUAUUUUUGUGCACAAACUGGAUUGGACCCCCAGAGUCCUUUGCAGUUAAGUAGAUGGCUGUGAAACCCACUGGCUGAAUGUAUGUUUCAUCACCCUCUAGUGGCAGGUCCACAUAGAGCAGAGGUGGGCAAAAUGCAGCCUGCCAGCCAGACCUGACCCACCAUCCAGUCCAUGGCUACCCAGCAAUUGUACCCCACCCAGCCCACAUGGUUCACCCCCAUUCUCAUGCCUAGGAGGGCCCUGGCCCUGGCCAGCUCGCACAACUUCUAGGCAGGGCCAGUGCUGCAGCCACCGGGGGACCUGCUUGGCUUCCCCGGCCUCCAGCAACUUCUCGUAUCCCUGCUGCAGCACUUGCACCACGGAACAGGUAGGGAAGCAGCAGUGGGCAGAGGAAAGCUGCAGCUCAGUGGGAGCAUGGGGCUGGAGCUGGCAGGAGUGUGGAGCCUGCACCCAGCAGGCAGCAGGAACUUGGGUGGAUAGGGUAUGGGUGAGGGUGGGAGGGCGUGGGGACCUCUCCAGGUGCCCCCUUCCCAUGCCUGCCCCCACUGCUAGCAGUAUUAGGUGGCAAGCCCUCGGGGUGCUCAUUGUCAAGGGGUGAGGCUACUCUUGCAGCCCUUGACAGCUUGCUAGAACUCAUUAAGCGGCCCUCCAGCUGAAAUAAUUGCCUACCCCUGACCUAGAGGAUAACAGCCUUCUGUUGCUUCUGGUUACUUUGUUAGCACAACUGGCAGAUACCCGAGUUAUGGAACUAGUCCCAACCCUGCUAAUGAUCCAAGUUAAGGCCUUGUCAAUAUGAUUCUGCAUGAUUAAAACUUUCAUUUUGCUCAUUUGCAAAUGCUGUGAAUUGCAUCAAAUUAUUAAAAACAAACAAACAAAAGUGUGUUCCAUUGAUUUUUGUGAAGUCAAGUCUCAAGACUUACUGCCAGAAUUCAGAUUACUUAUUUAGGGUUCAGUUGUGUAUAGGCUUGGUGGGAUUUGAUUUUUAAUGAUAAACCUUGAUAAAAGUUGAUUUCACUUCUUGCACGCUGAUGAAAGAAUAUUUCCAUUGUUAAUAAUCAAAAUUUAUAGAAGGGGGACAUAAGGAAAAUGCUGGCUGAUGGUGUGUGAGACAACAGGGUGAGCAGUCCUACAACACUUCUGACUCAUUUGGACUGUAACUCCCAGAAACCCCAGGGGACUGGGAGCAAAGGAAGAGGAAGUGACAAAGCAGACAAGGGAGCUACAGGCAAGCCAAGCCAGGACUGAUGGUAGCUCUGUUAUUCAGCAGAGAACAGUCCUACAGUAAUGUUUGUUGUGGUGGGCAGGUAAAUCGCACUAUAAUAAUAGUAUACUGCCAUUAAUAAAUUGUCUGUUCCCCACAUCCCUAAUUUCUCAUGGUCCUGAAAAUUUAAAUAGAUAAAAAUUGAAGCAAAUGCUUGAAAAUAAACAUUGAUGCUAUCCAUCAAAAUCAUAAAAAAAUUCUGCCAAGCCUAGUUGUAUAUUACAUUUUUGUAGUACUCCUACUUCUUAGUGCACAGGAUGGAGCUUGCUUUGAGAGUGAUUCAUGGUUGAAUUAGGCCAUUGUCUGUAGGAGCAUUUAAUUGCUGAUGCUUUCUAGUACAUCUGAUACUACAGCAUCAAAGCAAUUAGUCUAGGGCUUGUCUAUACUACGAAGCUCCUGUUGCUUUAGUUACGCUGGGAUAGCUAUGUCAGCAGCAUGCCCCCUCCCCCCAGUGUAGAUGUAGCAUACACCAACAAAAGGAGGUUUUCUGCUGGUGUAGUUAACCUCCUUCACAAUACAAGCUAGCCAUCAAAUAACACUCUUCUACUGGCAGAGCUACAUCCAUACCAGAGGUUUUGCAGCUGUGUCAGCUAAGAGGUUUGAUUUUUUUUUUUUUUUUCUUUCUUCUUCUUCUUUGUACCAAUAGGCUACAUAGCUCUACUGACAAAUUUGUAGUGUGGGCCUGACCCUAAAAGCACUCAUUCUUCCCCACUAUAAAGCCACACAUGAGGAUCAGCAAGAAACUGGUUUCGAAUUGCAUUAAAUAUACUGGAGUAUUUCUGCGUUGUGUUUUCUGGCUACUAAUUAUCACCCCAGUCCCCUGCUAGAUUUUUUUUUUUUUUUUCCCUCAGGGUUCACUGUCCAGCUCUUCCUAACUCUUCAAAGAGGCAACCAUUUUGAUAGGCUGAAAUCAAGACAAUAAUAUGGAAGCAAAGCUCAGAGCACUAAGAAAGGAGAGCGGGACUGGUUCUUGGCGAGAGUUGGUACAUAUGUGAGCUCAGUGGGAGAACAGUAGUCAUUAAGCUUUUGCAUUUGGUGGACUUCAGCUUAUAGUUUCACAUUUUGGAGAUAAAAUUGCUGCUUGUUUAUUAAAUCAGGAAUGAUAUUUGAAUGUGCAGUCUUGGCUUUCCAUUUUCCAAAGUUUCACAGUUUUAAUAUCAAAUAAAAGCUCCAACUAAAUAUGUUGAAUGGCUCCAUAAAUGUUUGUGUACUGGCGAACUGUGGCCACACCUAUCAAACCUCUUUGGCAUGUUUGUUUUUUGGUGUUUCUAUGCAGUACUGGCUUCUUGAACCCUUAGAAAAUAGUGAAGACCAAAUUAAGGCCUAAAGUAAGCAAGCACACUCCUACUAAAGUCACUGCAAGUUAAAUUUGCACAUGCCAGGGCUUAGCUUGACUGUGUGUGUAGGCCCCAUAUGUCCACCGACCUGAUGCUUUGUGGCCUUGUUUGUAUAUUCUGUUGGCUUUCCAUUGAUAUUAAGUGUGUUAAUAAGACUGUAUUUCAGUUAAGUAUUUUUAAGUGAUUCUAAUAUAUUAUGUUGACUCUGAUAGUAAUCUAAGAUGGAUAUUCAGCCCCAGUACUGCAGAAGUACUUUAGGCACAAACUCUUGAACAGCACCUUUACUUCAUAGGGGAGAUGCUGUUAAGAGUAAAAAGCCUUGGGCAGCACUAAGCGAAGAAGGAACUGAGACUGAUGCUCAGGCUGGGAAGCAAAUUGUACAGUAAGGAAAUAGGUUUAUGAACCAUGCUAUUUGCACCUGCAGUUUAGCAAAUGGGUAUUUUAUCUUUAAUAACACCUUUUGCAGCCCCAUUUGGCUAAAUAUAACCCUAGAGUGUGGAAAAACUGAAAUAUUUGUUAAGAUUCAUAUUAAGCAUUGAAUCAUUUGGAUAACUUUGUAUAGCUUUGCAUUCACCCAGCUACUGCUUUUAUUUGGCAGCUCAAAAUCACUUAAAGUUUGGUUAGAUUGUCAUUACAGAAUCUUGCCAUAUGUUGCUAAAGACCUGGAAUUUGCACAGUGCUGUUAACAGUCACAGAGGUUUUAUCACUUUAUUUUUUUUAAAUAUAACAUACAGAGUAAUGGAUGGGGGCACUUUUAAAAACCCAAAUAAAGUUUUGUUGCUUUAUCACUUUCUUAGUUAAGUACCCUCAGGCAAGACACCUAACCAAUCUUAGCUGCAUUCUUCUAACCUUUUAAAAUGCUUCAACACAGAGUGCUUAUAUAAGUGCUAAAUAUUACUAAGUUUGUCUGGCCGUGAUAAUUUUCCAAAUAGAAUGUGGAAUGAAAAGACUUUUAACAUCACAAGGGGGGAGUUUUAACAACAUGCCAUGGUACCUGUUCAGAGACGUCUUUUCUAUCUCUCGUCUUUGUGUCCAUAUUUGCACUCUUUUUUGAUCCGCUAUAAUGCUAAUCUCUAUUCACUCUCUCAUUCAGUGCUUUCCUUUAAUAAUAGGAAAAAUACUAGCAACCUGAUCCCAUCUGUCUCUACCGUAUAACAUUUUCCCCUUAGGUGACUCAGGAUGUAUGAUCUUGAUGUAUUUCAUAUAACGGAUGUAUGAUCUUGAUGUAUUUCAUAUAACGGCUAGGAAGUUCCAGUGUGCAAAAGGACCAAGAUGACAAACUUCUUAUCAAUGGGUAAAUUCCUUCUACUGGAGGAUUUACUUGGGGACGGUAAAAAGCAUGUAUUUUUUCUUAAUGAGAGAGCCACCACAAUUCUAUUUAACAUCCUGUCUCCAGAGUAAUUCUCCAUUGUGAAAGCUUCCCAGCCCUUAAUGUCAUUGGCUUCUUCAAAUUGUUAAAGCUUUUUUUUCUAAACCAAAAACAUUUGGGGAUUUAAACACGUUGAAAUAUCUCAGGCUGCGUUCCUGUUACAUCUGAAACUAAGCAGGACUGGGCCAGGCUGGUACUUGAAUGAGAGCUCUCCAAGGAAACCUUUAUGCUGGGGAAAUGAUGUUGGUGAUUUAGGGGGUGAUGCUUUUCCUCUCGCUGACCACUGAAAUCCUGGAAUGCUAUGCUGCAAGAGACCCUGUCUUUGAGGAAAUGUGCGUGCGUUAAACCAGGUGUACUCCGCUAGUUCUCACUUGGGGUCUGAUCUGAUUCCCAGCAAAGUCAAAGAAGCUUCUCUCUGCUUAAAUUUCUCCCUGCUGUUUCAUUGCUUUUUACAGUUCUCAACUGUCUUGCCGUUUUCUAUAGGUUGCCACUGGUCAUCCAAGCUGCAGUUGUUUUGGUGGUAAACUAGAAUGGUAUGUACAUAUGUAAUGCCCUGUCUUCACCCUUUGGGCAAGCUAUCCUUGUAAUUAGAGGACAUGAUGGAUUUCUGAAUAUUGGAUCCAUACAUUGUCACAGAGGAUUUUCUGUGAAUUUAUCAUCGCUUACAUUAGUAUGACACUAUGUGGGGCAUCUAUGAUGAAUUAUGUUUUGACUACUGUUUGUAAAUUGAUAACUCAAUUUUUUUUAAUAGUAAUCGAAACCGGUUUAUGCACUGAUCUGUUAUGUUGGAUAAGACUUACUCUUUUGUACUAAAUUAUCCAGAAGUUCCUUUUAUGUCUUUUGCAGUGAGUUCUAUGGCAGUUCAAUAAAUUAUGCAUAAAAAUGUC